rnacentral:rRNA from 1 species
CCUACGGGUGGCAGCAGUGGGGGAUAUUGCACAAUGGAGGGAACCCUGAUGCAGCGACGCCGCGUGAGUGAAGAAGGUCUUCGGCUCGUAAAGCUCUGUCGGCGGGGAAGAAAAUGACGGUACCUAACCAAGAAGCUCCGGCUAACUACGUGCCAGCAGCCGCGGUAAUACGUAGGGGGCAAGCGUUGUCCGGAAUUACUGGGGGGAAAGGGGGCGGAGGCGGGAGGGCAAGUCGAGAGUGAAAGCCCAGGGCCCAACCUGGGGACUGCUCUUGGAACUCCAUGGCUGGAGUACAGGAGAGGCAGGCGGAAUUCCUAGUGUAGCGGUGAAAUGCGUAGAUAUUAGGAGGAACACCGGUGGCGAAGGCGGCCUGCUGGACUGUGACUGACGCUGAGGCCCGAAGGCGUGGGGAGCAAACAGGAUUAGAUACCCGGGUAGUC